GGUCCACUAACCCCUAUCCAGUAAUGGUUAUGACUGCGGAUUCUGAUUCCGCCAGCCCAGGUUCGAUUCCUGGUUGGACCU